CUACGGGAGGCUCCAGUGAGGAAUAUUGCACAAUGGGGGGAACCCUGAUGCAGCAACGCCGCGUGGAGGAUGACGCAUUUCGGUGUGUAAACUCCUUUUAUAUGUCAAGAAAAUGACGGUAGCAUAUGAAUAAGCACCGGCUAACUCCGUGCCAGCAGCCGCGGUAAUACGGAGGGUGCAAGCGUUACUCGGAAUCACUGGGCGUAAAGGACGCGUAGGCGGGUUGGAAAGUCAGGUGUGAAAUCCUACAGCUUAACUGUAGAACUGCACUUGAAACUUCUAAUCUAGAGUAUGGGAGGGUGAUAUGGAAUUAGUGGUGUGGGGGUAAAAUCCGUAGAUAUCACUAGGAAUACCUAAAGCGAAGGCGAUCUCCUGGAACAUUACUGACGCUAAGGCGUGAAAGCGUGGGGAGCAAUCAGGAUUAGAUACCCUCGUAAUC
rnacentral:rRNA from 1 species